GUGAUCGAGUGAUGGUCAGGUGU
rnacentral:siRNA from 1 species